CGAUGUGGCAACUCAGAAGCUAUUUUACUCCAGUGACCCAGGCCGUGCUUCUGCACCAGAUCAAUUAGUUGUUCUUCUUCCUUUAAACUCCAUUUGCCUUUCUUUACAUCACGGUGCAAUGCUUUUAAGUACCUGUCACUGCACUGAGCAUCACUUCUCCCUGGCACUUCUGUCCGAAUUUUAUACCAGUCACGCUCUCCAUACUUCUCAACUGCAGCCAACAGCAUAGCAUCCUCC
rnacentral:lncRNA from 1 species